rnacentral:rRNA from 1 species
UGGGGAAUAUUGCACAAUGGGCGCAAGCCUGAUGCAGCCAUGCCGCGUGUAUGAAGAAGGCCUUCGGGUUGUAAAGUACUUUCAGCGAGGAGGAAGGUGUUGUGGUUAAUAACCGCAGCAAUUGACGUUACUCGCAGAAGAAGCACCGGCUAACUCCUGCCAGCAGCCGCGGUAAUACGGGGGUGCAAGCGUUAAUCGGAAUUACUGGGCGUAAAGCGCACGCAGGCGGUCUGUCAAGUCGGAUGUGAAAUCCCCGGGCUCAACCUGGGUACUGGCAUCCGAAACUGGCAGGCUAGAGUCUUGUAGAGGGGGUAGAAUUCCAGGUGUAGCGGUGAAAUUGCGUAGAGAUCUGGAGGAAUACCGGUGGCGAAGGCGGCCCCCUGGACAAAGACUGACGCUCAGGUGCGAAAGCGUGGGAGCAAACA